CAUAGUGUCUAACAAAGACACCUAAAGAAGACGUCAUUGACCGGAACACCCAUUACACAUCCUGCUUUUAGGUUUCUAAGAGGAACUGAGAGGUAGAUGUUGAGCAUAUGGCGGAGAAACUGAACUGAAAAUAUGAAUUUGUUUGUUUGUUUACAAGGUUAGUGGUCAUAUGGUAUGGAAUCCCUUUCUGAGGGCGCCAGUUAACAGUGGCAGAGACCAACUCAGGUUAUUGCAGCCUUGCAGGGUUUUUACCAGAGCGUAAAUUCUCAAAAUGGUCACUAGAUGGCCUCAAUUUCUGUAAAACCAUCCACUGCCAAAGAGCCUACAUCCCAGGUCAUUCCUCCAGGGUCAUAGUGUGAGUAAAACAUUAAAAACCAACAUUUAUAACUGUCACUGUAACUGAAAUUUAUAUUUUGUCAGAAACCAAGAGAAAUGUGUUAGUUUUAUAAUUUUAAAGCUUAAAAUUAUUUGCUUUUUUGCUAAUCAAUGUGUCCAAAGUUGAUUUGGUUUAUUGAUUUCCUCGACACUCUAUGGAAAAGACCCUUCAUGUUUUGUCAGCAACACAUGACAGCUGAGGGUCCCCCAGUCAAAUGGGUGGGGGAGGGGCUGGUUUGCACUGAGAUCUGACAGGAUAUGAUCAGCGGGCGUAAUGUGGUUAUAUCAGAUUUGUGUACAUCUCUGGUCUCAUUUCGGCCUUCCCCAUUAUGUCCAACCAGACAUGAGUUUCCUUGUGUCAUCCGAACCCCUGACCACAGUUGGCAAUGACACACUCAUACAGACACAGCAGGAAGGCUUAACACUUGGUCUGUAUGCCCUCUCAUUCACAUGCCCUUCACAUAUCAGUCUCUGAGAGACCUGACAGCUGAAUUCAAAAGUCUGACGGAUAUAAUCUGUCUCUCUGCUCUCAGCUUAUCUCCAAAGGGGUUCUACUCUUUACUGAUUUUAACUACUGAAUUCAAAAAUGUUCUGCUGUUUACUUACUGUAACUACUGAUUUAAAUAAUGUUUUACUGUUUACUUACUGUAACUACUGAAUUCAAUAAUUUUCUACUGUUUACUUACUCUAACUACUGAAUUCAAUAAAGUUCUACUGUUUACUGACUUUAACAACUGAAUUCAGUAAUGUUCUGCUGUUUACUUACUGUAAUGACUGAAUCCAAUGAUGUUCUACUGUUUACUGAUUGUAACUACUGAAUUCAAUAAUGUUCAACUGUUUAUUUACUGUAACUACUGAAUGCAAUAAUGUUCUACUAUUUACUGAUUGUAACUACUGAAUUCAAUCAUGUUCUACUGUUUACUGACUUUAACAACUGAAUUCAGUAAUGUUCUGCUGUUAACAGAAUGUAACGACUGAAUUCAAUAAUGUUCUACUGUUUACUUACUGUAACUACUGAAUUAAAUAAUGUUCUACUGUUAA